rnacentral:rRNA from 1 species
AUUGAACGCUAGCGGGAGGCCUAACACAUGCAAGUCGAACGAGUGGCGGACGGGUGAGUAAUAUAUCGGAACGUGCCUAGUAGAGGGGGAUAACUACUGGAAACGGUAGCUAAUACCGCAUACUAUCGGAUGAACCCAGAUGGGAUUAGCUGGUAGGUGAGGUAAUGGCUCACCAAGGCGACGAUCCCUAGCUGGUCUGAGAGGAUGAUCAGCCACACUGGAACUGAGACACGGCCCAGACUCCUACGGGAGGCAGCAGUGGGGAAUAUUGCACAAUGGGCGCAAGCCUGAUGCAGCCAUGCCGCGUGUAUGAAGAAGGCCCUCGGGUUGUAAAGUACUUUCAGUCGGGAGGCGUUACCGGCAGAAGAAGCACCGGCUAACUCCGUGCCAGCAGCCGCGGUAAUAC